rnacentral:lncRNA from 1 species
UUUACAGAGUACGUUCUAUUCAAUUUCAAAAUAGUGAUAUGUCAAGUGUGUAUUUAUUAUAUUGUUAUGCCAUAAUUUAGAAGUAGCAGAACUUAAAGUGUUUACCGAUUAGAAUUAUGAACACAACCUGCUGAAAGCAUGCUCCAAAUAGUUUUCAGUCUUCAGCAUAUAAGCACCGAGCGCAUCUUAUGCCUAUGGAUAUAAACCAUAAACAAAUUUAAAAAAUCAAUAGCGUCAAUAGUUGUUAAUUUUUCUAAUUUAAACCAAAAAAUAAUACUUCCUAUAUGGCGCUUAACCAGUGGAUCAAGUAAUCAAAGAAAAAACGGCUUUCGGCUACUAGAUUGUAGUAGAAUUGGAUGAAUAAUAAUAUUUCUACAGAAACGGUUUACAAGCUUAAUGACAACGUCAGAAAUCAACGAGCUAUUAACCAAGAAAGGUUGCUUAAUAUACGUUUUAUUGGACCGAAAUGGUUUAGAAAUAAUGGAAAGGUUAAUUAGAAAAGAGCAAGAGAAAAUGGAUGAAGCCUUGGUAAAAACUACCCAGACAUUGUUCAUUCCAAAUACAAACAAGAAAACAAAAUAUUUUUAAAAUCGAAAAAGAAAUAAACGUAUAAUUUAUCAACGACUACGCAAUACUUCCAUUUUAUAUUUACUUAAAUCGUGAGGUCAACAAAUUAAUUUCACUUAGAAAAAACAGGCUUGAAAGAGGCAUCAUAAGUUUGGGGCAUUUUGAACUUCACCAGCCUUUAGAGGAAGCUCAUCAUCGAAAUUCUAAAGACGGUGUAUGCUAUUAAGGUAAAUUUGAAGUUGGAGAAAUUAGGGGAAUAGCUUUAGUUGAUUUUUUUUCGUUAAGCAGUAGUUAAGCAAGUAUUGAAGGAUUUAUAUUAAGAUUUGAUAGACUUAUAAGCUUUAUAUUGUUUUUUAUAUGCCUGGUACACAAUAGCCUAAGUCAAAAGUUGAGCAAGAAACUCCUCGCUAUUGCCCCUUGAAUAAUAAAAAUGAAAAAAAAAAACGGAUAAAUAAAAAAAUAAACAAAUUUAUUUAAUAGGUAAUAAAUACAUUAAAGCACCAAACUAAAAAGUAUAUAACGUAACUUAUAUUUAAUAAAACUAUACAAACUUUGCUUGGCCAACAUCAAAUCAUUUUUGCCUCUGUGUUUAUCUAUAAAGCCUGGGAGUUGGAAGUAUUAUUUUAAUUUGAUUUAAAUGAACUAUUAAAAUGUAAGGUGCAUUUGGAGAAAUAAAAGCGACCUUGGAGCUUUUACGACACAAUGAUAUUUUAUAUUUCCCUUUUUCGUCUUUUUAAAUAUCUGGCCUAUGUAACAAAUACACUCCACUUGAGGUGGGACUCUCCAAUUUCACCAGAGUAUAUCUAUCAGUUAUGGAAAUUCGUGUAACAACCCGAAAAAGAUCUUAAAUGAGAUUGUUGUUUUGUGUUUCCUUAAUAUUUUCUUUCAUCAGGGUAUAUGUUGAUAUUUCCCAUUAUUUUCACUCGAUAUUUAAUUUUUUAUGAUAUGGAUAGAAUAUCUAGUAGAAUGUUUAUUUAAUGGGUAAUAACUCUCUACACACUAUGUUAUUUAUAUUGCUUGUACUCAUAUUAUUAAUAUUUCUGGAAUAAGUACCAACUACAUAAUUUUGAGAACUGUUUUUUGGCUGCAAAACAUUUGAAGUAGAAAAUCUUCGUAGGAAUAUACAGGGUGUUCUCUCCAUACGCAGUCUUGUGGUUUAAACGCACAUCUUGCAUAACUAUUAACUUUAUCAUUGCAUUUUUUAAGCAUAACAAACAAAGUUUAACAGACUUUAAAAAAUCCCAUUAUUUUGUAAAAAAAUUUGCGAGAAACCUAUUUUUUGAGGAAAUUAUUUUGUGUCACUGUCAGAUAUUUGUCUACCUGCUUUGCAGUGUAAAGGUAAUGAAGGUUACGAGGUGCAGAAAAAGCAAACUUUUUCAUCAGAAAAACGUAUUUUAAAUAGGUUUCUCGCAAAAUAAUGGGAUUUUUUAAAGUCUGUUAACUUAAACUUCACUUGUUCCAAGUUUCAAUCCUAUCGAUUAAAUAGAACAGGUUCUGACGUUGAAAAUAUUACACGUAAAACCCUAUGACCCGAGAUUAAAAAAAAUGCACUGUAUAGUUCAGUUCAGAGAUCUAUUAGAAUCUUUGAUGUGCCGCGAAUAGUCCGUGUGCCGGUGAUGAUUGUAUUGUCACAUGUCAUGCAUCUUUAAAUCGCAAAAUUUUAUGUGGAAAGAGUCAGAAAGUAAUAUUCUAAGCGAUAUUUAAUAAUCCCAUUAAAUAAAUAAAUGUUUUAAGCAUUUUUUUAAGAAUUUAUACAUUUGAUUCGUAAAAUUUGAAUACAUGCGCCCACGUACUGUUUUGUUAGACGUCUGACCUCAGUCACAGCCACUUAAGCGUGAAAAGUUGCACAGGUCCGGUCUUAAAAUUUAUUUGUAUUUAGGUUUAGUUUUAUUAAGCUAGAAAUUCAGGAUAGUUGAUAGCAAGAUAAUAUUUAAUUUAACUAUAAGAUUUAAGUACAUAAAAUCAGCUAAAUGAACCAUCAGAAUUAUCUGAGUCUAAAUCACCGUCCAGAUCACUCUUAUUAUUUUCACCACAAAUAUUAUUGUCAUUUCAUUUGCCAGAUUUUCCUGCCUAUUCUUCCAGGGUCGAAACAUUUUAAGGUCUUUAAGUAUAAUAUCAAAACAAAUCCACAAACACAAAUAAAAAAACACACUUCCUCACAGUAAAAACUGCAAACAAUUUGGACGAAUACAGGCCAAAUUCUAAAUUCUCCACUUUCAUAAACGUGUAAAAAGCAAAACCAGCAAAACACAUAAAAUAAUAACCUCACAUGAGCCCCCUUCCAACUAUUAAAGGCGAUAGACCCAUCCUUAAAGAUCUCUUUAAAAACACCACGAAAGUAAUACAAAAACAGCCUAAAAAUUUAUCUAGGUAUGGCCCCGUAAUCCUCAAAAUCAGUGGGAUAGAGAGAGAUACACAAUUACUUGCACAGCCUAAAGUAGGAAUCGCCAGAUCGCAGGUGUUUUAUCUUUGUUUAAUAGACUAGCUAAAAGGAGGUGACAAGUCUGGGAGUGUUUAAAAUGAUUUGUAAAAUACUUGUAUUUUAGUCCGCGGUCAAUUUUUUCAUAUUAUUUUCUUGUGAUAUUAUUUUCUUUUUAAAAAUUGACAUUUUCGAAAGAAAAAUAAAAAAUGGUGUAAAAUAUGGGGUUUUACGUAUAUUUAAAAUGAUUUCAUAGAUAAAUUAUAUAAAAUUUUGCCAUUUAAACAUGUAUAUCAUGCGACAAUAAAUACGACAUAGACGCAGGGCCUACUUAGUGCGGCAUCUGCAACACAUCAAAGAUUCUAUAGUCGGAUUACCGAACAGAUCGACUAAAUGAUGUGCGCGAAAUAUAGGCCCGCCCAUCGAUGCAACCUUGGCAGAUUUAGACGAGGAGAAUUAUGCCUACUUAUUUUAAAUUAUUUUACCGUACAGCUUUGCUUUGUAAGCAGCUUUUUUUAAAAUAUAAUACGGUCGCCUGUAAAAUGGGUCCAAACCGAUUUUGAGGCUGUGCCAGGUUAUAAUAUAAUAAUCCCUUUUAAGUAUUUUGUUAUGCAAAGUUAAGUUAAUAUAUUGGAGUUUAUCGAAAAUAAUGCAAAAUUAUGUUUACUAUGUGAAUACCGAAUUUCAUAACCAUAGGCCUACUUUGAUUUUUACAAAUUUCAAUCUCUAAUAAUUAAAUAUGAAUAAAAAAAUUAAUUGGUACACAAAACGUAAAAAUCAAAGUAGGUCUAUGGUUAUGAAAUGCGGUAUUCGGGCAUAAUUUUGCAUUCUAAACAACCUCUUUUACUUAUAAAAUUUAAAAAAUGUUCGUAUCAAGGCAAGCUUGAUUUUUAUUUUUUAAUCAAGCAGGGCUGGAUGCCAAACGGUCAAAUUUUAACCACAACAUUUUUUGUCAUUUUCACAUAUAAACUCGCUCAUCCUGGGAGACACUGUAUAUUAAAAAUAUUUAUUACCUGCUGCUUCUGCUGCAAACUGGACUUUUUGCACUUUGUUGUAUGCUGGAUGCUCGUUAUCACAUGUUUUAUAUAUGUUCAUAAUCACUUCCUUUUAACAAUGGUCAAAUGUUUUCGUACUCUUUUCUUGGGGGGUGAAAAUAGGGGUGUACGUGGCGCGUCAGCCAUUAUUUGUUAACAAACAAAUUAACAAAAAAAUAAACACAAUCUGAACUUUUCAAUAUUGCGAGGAUUCAAAUAUUCGAAUAGCAGAAAAUUCAACCAAAACGAUCUAAAGCCGCUCGACUAAUAAAAUUAAAUAAAACCCCAAGUCAUGAACAAUAUCGAGGCUCUAGGCCACACCUCCGGCGCAGAACGAUCACGUGACUACUCUAUCUGUUCGGUAACCCAAGUAUAAUAGAUUUCUGAACUGGACUUUAACCUUCUAAUGAUUUUCGAUUUUUCUCCAAAUACCAUAUUAAAACAAUAAUAACAUAAUUUUUUAACAUAUUUUACACCGAGAAAAAGACGUGUAAAAAGUGUAAAAACGCGGGUGGUGAUGACUUGUCCCCAUGUAAUUCUUAUAGAGUUCCGGGGGGAGGUGAGGUGCGGAGAGGUGUGCCGUGCUGUGAUUUGUCAGAAUUUUGUUGGCGGGAAGUAAAGAAUGCAAAUAAGCAGCAGCCGGUUAAUAUGCAAAUGGUUUAAACAAAGUCAAACUGAACAGUUUGACUUUGUUCCUGUGAUUUUAAUAACCUAUGUUUUUUUCCUAACAUUCUCUGCAACUUUACUAAUUUUACACUUAACAUGUUUCUUUUUAUUAGACAGAAUCAUUAUGGAUGUUAAAGGUUAUUUUUACCGACCUGUAUUUAUUCUGUUUACUUGUUAUUACCUUAACUUUAGAAAUAUAUCUAACUAUUAUUUCGUUACGACUUUGGCUUUUAUAUAUUUUAUA